AAUGAACGCGUGCAUCGAGCCUUACACAUUGCGAGUUGAACGAUAAUUAGUUUUAUAGUGGCGACCGGGUGCGUAACGUAUUAGAAUUUACCAAGUUGAGUCGGUCAAUCCGGGCAUAAUUAUAACAAAGAGUACCUCGCAACUUGAUAAGCUAGUGUCGGAUUAGAUCCUUCGUGGGGUAAAGGCCCACCAAAUCGACGAUCCGUAGCUGAUUUUGGAUGAAUGGGCAGCCACAUUGGAACUGGAAUACGGUCCAAACUUCCCAGCGAGGGCAGCAGUGGGGAAUAUUCGACAAUGGGCGAAAGCCUGAUCGAACUGGUUGCCUGGAUGAUGAAGAGCCUGCUUGUAAAGUUCAAACCUUUAUGGAAGAUAAUGACUAUAUAAGCGCAGUUCCGGUUAAUUCUGUGCCAGCCGCCGCAGU
rnacentral:rRNA from 1 species